rnacentral:rRNA from 1 species
GACGGGGGGGGCAAGCGUUCUUCGGAAUGACUGGGCGUAAAGGGCACGUAGGCGGUGAAUCGGGUUGAAAGUGAAAGUCGCCAAAAAGUGGCGGAAUGCUCUCGAAACCAAUUCACUUGAGUGAGACAGAGGAGAGUGGAAUUUCGUGUGUAGGGGUGAAAUCCGUAGAUCUACGAAGGAACGCCAAAAGCGAAGGCAGCUCUCUGGGUCCCUACCGACGCUGGGUGCGAAAGCAUGGGGAGCGAACAGG